rnacentral:rRNA from 1 species
AUAGCGUAUAUUAAAGUUGUUGCAGUUAAAAAGCUCGUAGUUGAAUUUUGGACCUGGCUGGGUGGUCUUGCCGCAAGGUAAGCACUGCUCUGGUCGGGUCUUUCCUUCUGGGGAACCUGCGUGCGCUUAAUUGAGUGCGCAGGGGAUCCAGGACUUUUACUUUGAAAAAAUUAGAGUGUUUAAAGCAGGCAUUCGCUUGAAUACAUUAGCAUGGAAUAAUAGAAUAGGACUUUGGUUCUAUUUUGUUGGUUUCUAGGACCGAAGUAAUGAUUAAUAGGGAUAGUUGGGGGCAUUAGUAUUUAAUUGUCAGAGGUGAAAUUCUUGGAUUUAUGAAAGACUAACUUCUG